UACGGAGGGUGCAAACGUUGCUCGGAAUCAUUGGGCGUAAAGCGCACGUAGGCGGCCGAUUAAGUCGGGUGUGAAAUCCCACGGCUCAACCGUGGAAGUGCACUCGAAACUGCAGAGCUAGAGUCCUGGAGAGGAAGGUGGAAUGCUUGGUGUAGAGGUGAAAUUCGUAGAUAUCAAGCGGAACACCGGUGGCGAAGGCGGCCUUCUGGACAGUGACUGACGCUGAGACGCGAAAGCGUGGGGAGCAAACAGG
rnacentral:rRNA from 1 species